AAUUGAGUGCUCAUCCUGUUGGUUCAAAUGCACUUGAUGUUGCAUCAAAGGCAAUUGUGUCUCUGCUGAUGAGAGCUUACUGGAUGCUCUCCUAUUUUCUGCUCUGAAGCAGAUUUGUCAUGAAUAAGGCAUCCGAGAACUAUACAGUGGUCUGAUUCCUGCUUUAGCUGGAGUUAGCCAUGUUGCUAUCCAGUUUCCUGCAUAUGAAAAGAUCAAAGCUUACUUGGCAGGAAGAG